rnacentral:lncRNA from 1 species
AUUACAAUAUUUUAGAAAGAUAACCAAAAAACACACGAGAAUUGCAGCCCAUUGACCAGCUGGCCAUGGCCAAACCGACCACAGGUGGUGCUACCAGCCACCGCUGGAUCCCCUUCCCAACGGCGGUCACCAUCCCACCGAUCGGCAGACCUCCCAACUACCGCAAAACCUACGACAAGAUUCCCAAACCGGCAGCCUACUCCAACUUUCGCAAAUACUAUCGCCGCCACCUGAUCAGCUGCUGGUGGUGGUGCACUUUUGCUGACAGAGCCUCCAUUGAACCCCAAGCUUUACCAACAGCGCCUAUAUACCUUCCAGCGACAAUAAAUCUCUCAAAACCAGCAACCUAGCUUACAAAACCGUAGAUCGCAUGCAUGCCCCCCAACCCGAGCAACCACCCUUUGUCCGGCGCCAUUGGGUUCCUCAAAAUUGCCGGACAUCCCUUCCUUUACCCCUUUGCUGUCGCUAAGUGAACACUCCGAUUUGAUGGGAGCUGACGCACGUCCCAUGCAAAACCCUAGCUUACAACAACUUCCCUUACGUCCCGUGCAAGCUACUACUGAUUAUAGACAUCAUGCUUCCUUAGACACCUCAAAUGUGGCCAUUCCAGCUUCUUCUCGUCCUCCUUUAAACCAAUCUACAGCUAGAUACCCUCAAAACCGAUCCACAGCUGCAUCCAAUUCUCAAAAUCGACCCACCCUAAACCUUCAUAUGGCUCUUUGGAUAAUGCUGCAUCCAUUCUUUCUUAACCCCAAUGCUACAUCUAGGUCUGAGUAAUCCUUUGCUGACGUUGUUGCUAGUCGCACUGGGCGUCCGAUAACGGUUAAGCCGGUUUUUCUUCCCAGAGAGGAGCCCGCAGUUCACUUUUCUACUGUUGAAGUCCGGACUAUGGCUAGUCCCUUCAAUUUGUGUCUUAUGGAUGUUAUUCGGCUAAAGUUCUCUAUUUGCCGGUCAUCUACGGUUGUUAUUCCAGAAAUUUUUUGUCACUAUGGGGUUGAAGGGGAAUUCUCGAGUAUGUUUAUUACAUUUACAAUAAAAUUGAUUAAAGACUUUAAAUUGGUAUAUAAUAAUACUACAAUAUUUAAGAAAAUGUUAAAAAAAAGGUUAGAAAGUGAUUCUUUUAUAAAAAAUAUUAAAUUUUGUUAAAUGGAAGACACGAUAAUAAAAUGGUCGGAUCAGAAUUUGAGAUUAUUCACAUAAUUAAAAAAUAUGAUAAAUAUAUCCUUUUUUUUCUUGAAUAUUACAUAAACUAAAAUGCGUGUAUGAAGCUUAUGAACUGCUAAGAAUCGUUGGAUUAUCAGACUAUUGAGCAGAGAAGACCAAAUUACGGUGCAGUCAAAUGCAGCUAAGUAAACAGUCAGUUACUUUUCAUUUCAUUUUGUUUUUAUUUUUCAGCAUGCCAUUUCUCGUGAAAGUUGUACUAUCUAUCUACUGAGGCGAUCAGGCGAAGCAACACAUUACCUAGACUCACAUAACAGAAAGAGAGUGUACUAUCUAUCUACUGAGGCGAUCAGGCGAAGCAACACAUUACCUAGACUCACAUAACAGAAAGAGAGUGUUUAUUUUUAUUGUUUUCAAGGGAAAGAGAGUGUUUAUUGAAAAGAGAUAAGAGGAAGAGAGAGCUACCGCUGUUCUUGUUCUGCUCCGCUUUUAGAGACUAAGUAAGAACUAAGAAAAAGUUACAAAAAUUUCUUCAUUUCUUUCUUUUUUUCUUUUUUAAUUUUCAAUUAUUGAUUGGUAAUUAGAGUAUCCAUUUGAUGUUCUUUUGUUUGUUUGGCUUGUGUUCACUGUUAGGGCUUUUGUAACCUUCACAAUCAAAGCACAUUACUCUGUUCCAAUGGAAAAAGAUCUCCAGGAAAAGAAAAAGAUUUAG